AGAGGGCUGUCCAGCUUCCCUGAGUUCAUAAAAUCUCUGCUUUGCAGGUCGAGGGAAAGUCAUUGUGGUGAUUGAUGACCUGGACAAGACCGACUUUGAGCAGAAAUCCCGUAUCCUGCGAGAACAGCAAAAUAUCGCUGAUCAGGCCGCAGAGCUGUUCCUUAUCAGCCCACACGACAAGAUAAACCCACAACUAUUAGACAAAAAGUUACAGCAGAUAGGAG